UACGGAGGGGACUAGCGUUGUUCGGAAUUACUGGGCGUAAAGCGUGCGCAGGCGGUUAUGUAAGACAGGUGUGAAAUCCCCGGGCUUAACCUGGGAACUGCAUUUGUGACUGCAUAGCUAGAGUACGGUAGAGGGGGAUGGAAUUCCGCGUGUAGUGGUGAAAUGCGUAGAUAUCGGGAGGAACACCAGUGGCGAAGGCGGCUUUCUGGCCUGUUCUUGACGCUGAGGCGCGAAAGCUAGGGGAGCGAACGGG
rnacentral:rRNA from 1 species